AGAACGAACGCUGGCGGCAUGCCUAACACAUGCAAGUCGAACGUGAUCCAGGCUUCGGCCUGGUGAAAGUGGCAGACGGGUGAGUAACGCGUGGGAACCUGCCCUGUGGUAGGGAAUAACCGUGGGAAACUGCGGCUAAUACCCUAUGAGUCCUUCGGGAGAAAGAUUUAUCGCCAUAGGAGGGGCCCGCGUCGGAUUAGGUAGUUGGUGGGGUAACGGCCUACCAAGCCUUCGAUCCGUAGCUGGUCUGAGAGGAUGAUCAGCCACACUGGGACUGAGAUACGGCCCAGACUCCUACGGGAGGCAGCAGUGGGGAAUAUUGAACAAUGGGGGCAACCCUGAUCCAGCAAUGCCGCGUGGAUGAUGAAGGCCUUCGGGUUGUAAAGUCCUUUCGGCGGGGAAGAUGAUGACGGUACCGCAGAAGAAGCCCCGGCUAACUUCGCGCCAGCAGCCGC
rnacentral:rRNA from 1 species